rnacentral:misc_RNA from 1 species
CAGAGUUGAAAAACUCCCUAACCCUUUGUUUACAUACCUGUUCAGUUGCUUCGGCAGGCGGCCCCAGGGCGGGGCCUCCGGCCUGCUCACGCAGGUGCCUGCCGCUGGCGCAAAAAACUCUUUGUUAUAUGUUACCACUCUGAGUCUUAAAAAAACGAAUCA